GGCGGCACUAGCGCGGUGGUCCCACCUGACCCCAUGCCGAACUCAGAAGUGAAACGCCGUAGCGCCGAUGGUAGUGUGGGGUCUCCCCAUGUGAGAGUAGGGAACUGCC
rnacentral:rRNA from 2 species